GACGAACGCUGGCGGCGUGCUUAACACAUGCAAGUCGAACGGAAAGGCCCUGCUUUUGUGGGGUGCUCGAGUGGCGAACGGGUGAGUAACACGUGAGUAACCUGCCCUUGACUUUGGGAUAACUUCAGGAAACUGGGGCUAAUACCGGAUAGGAGCUCCUGCUGCAUUGUGGGGGUUGGAAAGUUUCGGCGGUUGGGGAUGGACUCGCGGCUUAUCAGCUUGUUGGUGGGGUAGUGGCUUACCAAGGCUUGGACGGGUAGCCGGCCUGAGAGGGUGACCGGCCACAUUGGGACUGAGAGACGGCCCAGACUCCUACGGGAGGCAGCAGUGGGAAAUAUUGCACAAUGGGCGGAAGCCUGAUGCAGCAACGCCGCGUGCGGGAUGACGGCCUUCGGGUUGUAAACCGCUUUCGCCUGUGACGAAGCGUGAGUGACGGUAAUGGGUAAAGAAGCACCGGCUAACUACGUG
rnacentral:rRNA from 1 species